GUGUAAGAUGCUGAGGUUUCUGUGCUAAAUGUCAAGGGAAAGUGCGAGAGAAAACCGGCAAAAUAUGCAUAGAGCUUGACUAGAACAAUAGAGAGAAAUAUUGCAGGCCUCACAUCUCCCCUUUUUGCUCCCCUGUUUUCUCCCCUAUAUUUGGGUGGUAAACAGAAGCCUUCAAAAUCCAAUUUAACCAUAGAACUUUCA
rnacentral:misc_RNA from 1 species